GACGAACGCUGGCGGCGUGCUUAACACACGCAAGUCGAACGGCAAGGCCCUGCUUUUGUGGUGUGCUGGAGUGGCGAAAGGGUGAGUAACACGUGAGUAACCUGCCCUUGACUUUGGGAUACCUUCAGGAAACUGAGGCUACUACCAGAUAGCAUCUCCUGCUGCAUGGUAGGCAUUGGAAAGUUUGAGCGGGUGGGGAUGGACUCGCGGCUUAUCAGCUAGUUGGUUGGGUAGUGGCUGACGAAGUGAGUGACGGGUCGCCGGCCUGAGAGGGGGACCGGGCACAAUGGGACUGAGAGAGGGCCCAGACUCCUACGGGAGGCAGCAGUGGGGAAUAUUGCACAAUGGGCGGAAGCCUGAUGCAGCAACGCUGCGUGCGGGAUGACGGCCUUCGGGUUGUAAACCGCUGUCGCCUGUGACGAAGCGGGAGUGACGGUAAUGGGUAAAGAAGCACCGGCUAACUACGUG
rnacentral:rRNA from 1 species